UUGGUGUCCCUGGAAAGUAGACACAUAGACCUUUCCAAUGGUACCAAUUUCACCAUUUUCCAGUGAGUGAGAUUUCCUAUAGGUCUCGUGGAAGUUGACCUACAAAACUUGGCAGAUUCUGAUUUCGCUUUUGAUGUGUCUUUCUUAUGUAGGGAUAGAAUAAUCCUCAACCUUUCAUACCAUUAAGUAUUGAAAAAGGAGUUACUGCCAUUACAUUGGCGUUGCGUGGGCGCAUAGCUACACUUAGCUUUACAACUUUUCAUAGCGAAUGAGAUGUCAAGUCUUUUGUAUUGUGUUGAGUACAUUGAUGCGUCUUUUUGUACUUAGAUGGGAACUUCAUCUCUUAACACAUAUUUGUCAUCUUGCUUUAGACAAAACAACAGAUCUCUCUUUAGAGCAAAGACCUUGACUAAUCAUGGGAGUAUAUGUAGGCCUCACUAGUUAUAGAGCGUCUAAGCCGAUUGAUCAUUAAUACAGUCAUCGAGUGCCUUAUCGAGACUGUGUCUUCCCAAGAUCUUUUUCUUCGGAUGUUGAUACAUAUUGGCAUCUCUUGAUCCAUCAAAAGUCCAUGUAAAUCCGGAAUGAACACGCAAAGGCAUAAUUCACCAUAUCCCUUCCAAAUCAAGUAGAGUUCAUGUGCGUUUCAAUACAUUUAGCAAAUGCAUGCUCCUGUGGUUUGGAGCCACUUGAUUCGGAUGAAUGAAGUCCGUUUAAGAUCUUCAUGUAUAUCUCUGAUCCCAUAGAGAUGUUAUUAUGACCACAUUCAUAGGCUGCAUGUUCAGUUAGUCGGAAACUACCAAACUGACAAAGUAGUGGAGUUCAAUGACAUCCAUUACGAGAGCAUAUCUCAUCGUAGUCGACCCAGUGCGUGUUAGUGAGAGACCUUGCGCCAUAAGGUGAGUCUUAGCUCUUGUUCUCACUACGCUAUCUAACAAAGGUAUAGUUGAUAGGGUUUAGCUUGCG
rnacentral:lncRNA from 1 species